ensembl:snRNA RNA, U11 small nuclear 3, pseudogene
AAAAAGGGCUUCUGUCAUGAUUGGCACAGGGGAGGGAGGGGACCCCUCUCUCCCUUGCGGAAUCGCUAUCAAGAGAUUUCGGAAGCACAAUUUUUGUUAUUCGAGGCUGCUAGUGACCACUGUUCCUGGCGCCUCC